rfam:Cyberlindnera jadinii NRRL Y-1542 unplaced genomic scaffold CYBJAscaffold_3, whole genome shotgun sequence.
GAGGGCUUGGCCGAGUGGUUAAGGCGUCAGAUUUAGGCUCUGAUAUCUACGGAUGCGCGAGUUCGAAUCUCGUGGUCCUCA